rnacentral:piRNA from 2 species
AUAUUGUAUGGGACGUAUGAAUUCUG